rnacentral:rRNA from 2 species
AACUGCGACCCCAGGUC